ensembl:lincRNA
CAAUUAUCCCGGUCAAGUAUACCUGGAUUUAUUAUUCUUCCCAAAAGUCCUCUAUGUGCUUCCCAAUUUCAAUCCCUUUUCUUAUAACAAGGGCUUUCUUGCAUGUUUACAGCUUUGUCUUCCUAGAAGUGCGUUCUCAGGAAGACACACCUGUGUGCAUGCAAGCAUCCGUGUGUAUUCAAAAGCAUCAGAAAGCUAAGAUUUUUUUUAAAGUGAGACUUUUACAAAUCUGA